rnacentral:misc_RNA from 1 species
ACAAAAUGUGAAUUUUCAAUUCAUAAACACUUUCCGCGUACCUAUCCCCGUUGCUUCCGCAUGUUUGGCAAUAGAUCUUGCCGUUCCUCUCCACUAGGGGAGCUUGCGGGAGAUUAUCAUAACCUCCGUCAUCCUUCUGUUGUCUGAACCUUUGCCUUUGCAAGUAUUA